GGCCAAACAUACCCCAAAGCCUAUAAAACCUAAAGGAAAACUCAAAACUUUAUGAAACUAAGUGAAAUCAUGUAACAGGUGACUCUUAACAAGCAUGCAAAGUUUCAUGGAGAUCAGACCAUAGGUGGCGCUAUAACAGUAGAAAAGGUCUCAAAACACAAGAUUUAUAUGGUAAAUGGCCUCAAAUUGUUUGAAAAUGUUCAUAUAUUCAUUCAAAAACACUAAAUCUUCAUAUCAUAUGAUAAAUCUCCUCAUUCUGAACAACUUUGCCUCUGGGACCAAUGUUGUCAAUAAAGCUGUUAAUUAAAUAUUCAAGAUUAUUUUAAAAAGUUACUUUGGCAUACUUGUGAUACGGUUUAAGAUGAAAAUCAAUAAAACCACUGAAGUACAAUUCUCUAGACUCUGAAGGUCAAUAAUUAUCAAAAACAUGUUGAACAAUUGCAUUUGGGCAACUAUAAACCAAUAAUUUUAUAAUAUGUUAUUUGCAUAGUGUACACAAAGGCCUAUUUAUACAAACAGAAAGCCCACAAAUUAUCAAAACUGUGUAAAAUAAUGCAUGAUUUCAUUCUAAACAAGCAUGCAAAAUUUAAGAGAGAUUGGGCAAAAAAAAAUUACAACACUAUAACAGUUAUGUU